UAGAGAAAAGGUAAUCUCAUAUCUCAAUAAGCCAACUAUGUAUUUCAUUUUUUUGGUGCAUGUUAACAGUGAGAAGGCACACAACCAGUACUGACCCAAGAAUCUCAAGGCAACAAUGGCACAUAAGGGGAAAGAAAAAGAAUUUAGGUCUUUGACCACAAACAAAAAGAAAAUACUUUCAUUUAGACAAACAGCAGCAAGCAUACUCUAG
rnacentral:misc_RNA from 1 species